CAAGUCGAGCGGCAGCGCGGGGGCAACCCUGGCGGCGAGCGGCGAACGGGUGAGUAACACAUCGGAACGUGUCCCGUAGUGGGGGAUAACCCGGCGAAAGCCGGGCUAAUACCGCAUAUGCUCUACGGAGGAAAGUGGGGGACCUGCAAGGGCCUCACGUUAUGGGAGCGGCCGAUGUCCGAUUAGCUAGUUGGUGGGGUAAAGGCCUACCAAGGCGACGAUCGGUAGCUGGUCUGAGAGGAUGAUCAGCCACACUGGGACUGAGACACGGCCCAGACUCCUACGGGAGGCAGCAGUGGGGAAUUUUGGACAAUGGGGGCAACCCUGAUCCAGCCAUGCCGCGUGCGGGAAGAAGGCCUUCGGGUUGUAAACCGCUUUUAGUCGGGAAGAAAGGGUUUCCUUGAAUACGGGAGAUCUAUGACGGUACCGGCGGAAUAAGCACCGGCUAACUACGUGCCAGCAGCCGCGGUAAUACGUAGGGUGCGAGCGUUAAUCGGAAUUACUGGGCGUAAAGCGUGCGUAGGCGGUUCCUCAAGUUCCGUUGUGAAAGCCCCGGGCUCAACCUGGGAAUGGCAGUGGAACUAGGGGACUGGAAUCUGGCAAAGGGGGGUGAAUGCCCGUGUACCAGUGAAUGCGUAGA
rnacentral:rRNA from 1 species